AGCUUUCCGCAGUGGCAGUAUCGUAGCCAAUGAGGUUUAUCCGAGGCACGAUUAUUGCUAAUUGAAGUCUGCAGUCUAGCUAAAAUUUGUUGAUCAAUCAUAACCUGUUCUUCUAAAGUAGUUGUAGUGUUUUGCAUAUAUGAAUGCACUUGUUGUG
rnacentral:snRNA from 1 species